rnacentral:snRNA from 1 species
GAAUUCUUGUAAACCAUCCCGAACGGUCACAGAAAUGUGGAGGCUAAAGCACAAGUGUAAAAGACUAAUCUAAUUAGAAAACAGAAAUAAGGACUAAAACAAUUCUGUUGGUGUAGGACCGGUCUUCGGUCAAGGGUAUAGGAGUAGCUGCGCUCCCCUGCUAGAACCUCCAAACAAGCUCUCAAAAGAAACAUGGAUAGAGACAUGCACACAAAGAACUAUGCAAUUACUUGUUCACUUGACAACUGGUUAUUGAAAUAUGA